CUCUCUCCUGCUCCACCAUGGGAGAUGUGUUUGCUUCCCCUUCACCUUCUGCCGUGAUUGUAAUCUUCCUGAGGCUUCUCAGUUAUGCUUCCUGAUAAGCCUGUGGAACUAUGGAUGACAGGAUGGAGUCUCCAGCUGUGAAAGUGUUGCUGCAGACAGCCCUCAGCUUCCAGUUCUUGUAAAAAUGGCCUCAGCUUCAGAGAGCUCCAUUACCCAAGCUCAUUCAUUUCCUGGGGUGUUCUGCAUCCAGUGAGUGUUCUGUGGACUUGCCAGAACACUCACUUUUGGAACCUGGCCACCAUGUUGGAAGGAAUCCCAGAGCACAUGAGGAGGCCUUUUGGGGGUGUUCCAGCUGACAGCCUUAGCUAAGGUCUUAGCUAAUAGUCAGCAUCAACUGCUGGCAAGUGAACAAGGCUUCAGAUGAUUCCAGCCCUCAGCUUUCCAGCUGAAAACAUUGUAAAGCAAAUACAGCCA
rnacentral:lncRNA from 1 species